rnacentral:lncRNA from 1 species
CUGCCAGCGCCUGGCUCGCCAGGAAGAGGUUCUUAAGAUAUUACGGUACCUACAGGGUUUCCCGGCCUCCGAGUGCCUCCUCUUCCACAGCCUCCCUCCGCCCAGCCCGCCCAAGUGCCGCUCUCAGGGGCGGAACGAUCGUCUCCUAAAAGCUUUGGGGGCUCGCUAAGGAGCUCAUCAACGACUCUUUCAAGAUGCUUGAGAACUACCAUGAUAAAAACCGAAUUCCUCCACUUUGUGAAAAGGAUGAGUUUUUUAUGUAGAACAUAAGAUAUCUUUUGAGGUCUCGAUGAAAUUGCUGGAAGCAUCAAUCCACACCUUACUCCAUGGGAGAGAGAAGCAGUCUGUUUCCCAAGAAGCAAGUUGGGAAUCUACUGGAAUGCCCACAGAGGCCAUAUGUCUACCUUGGGCUCUAAGACAG